rnacentral:misc_RNA from 1 species
GUACAUUAGUGCUUGCGCACAACAAUAGGUUUCAUUACAUUCGAGUGUGUGUAAAAAUCCUCUGCCAGCCGAAGCUAGCAAGAGGCCAGAAGUUCACAAGGGUAUUGGAUGAAAGUCACCCACGUGCACUUGCCGGGGCCAGCACUGAAGGUAACGAUUCACAAUCAAUAAUGAUCCUUCCGCAGGUUCACCUACGGAAA